AACUUCCUAAAUCUGUGCCAAGAUUUUGUGAAACACCUACCUACUGGGUCUAGUAAAACUUCUAAGAUUAGCGAAGUG
rfam:Schistosoma margrebowiei strain Zambia genome assembly, scaffold: SMRZ_scaffold0001361